GUGAACGCUGGCGGCGUGCCUAACACAUGCAAGUCGAACGAGCGACUCUCUUGUAGCAAUACAAGAGGGAAGCUAGUGGCAGACGGGUGAGUAAUACAUGGGUAAUCUCCCUCCGGGAGGAACAUAACCCCGAGAAAUCGGGGCUAAUCGUCCAUAAGACCACGUUUCUUCCUACGAAGAAACGGGAUCAAAGCCUUCGGGCGCCUGGAGACGAGCCUGUGGCCUAUCAGCUAGUUGGUGAGGUAAUGGCCCACCAAGGCUAAGACGGGUAUCCGACCUGAAAGGGUGACCGGACACACUGGAACUGAGACACGGUCCAGACUCCUACGGGAGGCAGCAGUGGGGAAUUUUGGACAAUGGGCGAAAGCCUGAUCCAGCAACGCCGCGUGAGGGAUGAAGGUCUUCGGAUUGUAAACCUCUUUUGCAGGGGACGAAUAAAUUGACGGUACCCUGCGAAUAAGCCACGGCUAACUUCGU
rnacentral:rRNA from 1 species